CUUGUCCAUGGCCCUACCCAUCCCUGGGGACCUCUCUCGCGAUUUCUCGUCCCCAAUUCAAAACCAGUUCAUCGAUUCCAUUUCGGGAUAGAGUGGGCGAGGACUACGCCAUGGAUCGGAUCGUAGGCGGGAAGUACAAGCUAGGGCGCAAGAUCGGGAGCGGAUCCUUCGGCGAAAUCUUUCUUGCGACGCACGUUGACACGUUCGAGAUCGUCGCGGUUAAGAUCGAGAACAGUAAGACCAAGCACCCACAACUAAUUUAUGAAGCCAAGCUUUAUAAUAUUCUUCAGGGAGGAAGUGGGAUCCCAAAUAUAAAAUGGUAUGGUGUUGAUGGAGAGGAGAAUGCUCUUGUCCUUGAUUUGCUGGGUCCAAGCCUUGAAGAUCUGUUUGUCUAUUGUGGUCACAAGUUCUCGUUAAAGACAGUUCUGAUGCUGGCAGAUCAGAUGAUUACAAGAAUAGAAUAUGUUCACUCAAAAGGUUUUUUACACAGAGACAUCAAACCCGAUAACUUCCUGAUGGGUCUUGGUCGGAAGGCUAAUCAGGUGUACAUCAUCGACUUUGGGCUUGCUAAAAGAUAUAGGGAUUCUACUACCAAUCGUCAUAUUCCAUACAGAGAAAACAAAAACCUGACUGGAACUGCUAGGUAUGCUAGCUGCAACACCCAUCUUGGAAUUGAGCAAAGCCGACGGGAUGAUUUGGAAUCUCUUGGUUAUGUUCUCCUCUACUUUCUCAGAGGGAGUCUUCCAUGGCAAGGUCUAAAGGCUGCCACAAAGAAGCAGAAGUAUGAUAAAAUAUGCGAGAAGAAGCUUUCAACUCCAAUUGAAGUUUUAUGCAAAUCCCACCCAGUGGAAUUUGCUUCUUACUUUCACUAUUGCCAUUCUUUAACGUUUGAACAACGGCCCGACUAUGGAUUCUUGAAGCGGCUCUUCCGUGAUUUGUUCACUCGUGAAGGCUAUGAAUUUGAUUAUAUCUUUGACUGGACAAUUUUGAAAUACCAACAAGCCCAAAGGACAAGAUCUCAACCUCGACCAUCUCUGAUCUCAGGUGGAACAACUAGUCAAGCGAUUCCAAUGAACGCUGAUAGACAACAAGUUACCAGUUUCCGCAACAUUCCUCGCAUUGAUGAAGUCACGGAGCACGUUGCACCUAUUAAUGUUGGUCGUCCUAUUGUUCAAAUGCAGUUCAAAUAUCCAGCUGAUAGAGAUAAGUUGAGAGUAGGAACAAGUUCUGAACUACCUCAACUAUCAUCCCCGUCACUUGCUUUCGCUGGUCCUUCAAAGAAACAUGUAAAUUCUAAACAAUCAGGGCCACCACCCGAUGCUUCCCAUGUUGGCUCCUCCAGCAGUUGGUUUCCUACGCUACAGCGUAAUGCUUCGGCAAAAUGACCGGUAAUUCUGUUGUAUGAGUAGCUGCCAUGUAUGUUCAGUCCCAGUUCACUGCAUGGGACUUCUCAGGUUGAGCGUCUGUUCUUUAUGGGCUCUUCAGGUGUAAAUUCAAAGUGGUUGGGUCCAACAACACGAUAACACAGUAGCUGCACUGUUAUUGCUCAGGUCACUUACUCCUGUUAAGGUGACUAUUAAGUGUGUUACAUAAUUAAUGCUUUUCGGUCUAACAUUCAAUUUCCCAUUUAAAUUGGAUAAAAUGAAAUUGUUUUAUUUCAUUAAUGUUGAUAAAUCUAUUUAGUAGAGGGAUAUCAUGUAAUAAAAUGCCUCGUGGAUUCAUCUAUCCUGGCUUCUCUGCUCCUUGUUUAGUUUUGUAUUCUAUUCCUUUGGUUCAGGUGCCAGGCUCUCGUCUUUAAUGCUGGUUACCAGAUUGCAAUACCACCUUAUCUAGGACAAGACAUUGGCCUUUGAAGAUUUUAGACAUGGAAUCUGGAUCAUCUUAGUUAGUAUCUACGUCCAUAAAGAGAGAUGAUGAACAGGUUUUACGUUUUCUCAGCUUGGAAAAAAUGGUAGAUUCGAGAUAGUUUGUUUUCCUUUUUUUUUUCAAGUAGUUAUGUAUAUGUUUUCAUCGUGUGCAUUUUGUCUAUGUUUUAGGGUUUGUUUCCUGAGUAAAUAAGUUAAAGGGUGAAUUACGAGCAAAGGAUGAAGUGAUAGAAGAAUCGCUUCUUUUUCCUUUUUUUUUUAGCAUUGCUUUCACUGAUAAAUAAACAUGGUUUUAGUGUAAAAUUUUGUUGAAAUUUUUUCUUUUCCAUUCAUUUCUUUAAUUUUAUUUUUAUGCCUUUCUCGAUCUUUUUUCUCCUCCUAAUUUACCAUACCUUUACGGCCAACAAAUUGUUUUUAAUCAAUAUUUUUUUCUUUAUGUUUCUCAUUCUUUUAAUCUCUUCCUCUCUUCUUGUAUUGUCUGAAUAUAACGUUGCCAUAUGAUUAUAUUUCUAUCUAAUAUUAUUCUAAUCAAUCAAAUCUUGUUCUAUUGGAAUGACAAUGGAUAUCAGAUGUCAAAAAUAAGAUUUAAAAAAUAAUUUAAUAUGUUUUUAAAUAUGUAAAAAGGUCAUAUAGUUAUUUAUUGUGUUCAAUUAAUUUCAAAGAAUUUUAUUUCACCGAUUGCGUAAAAGUUGAUUUUGAAUUGUUGUGGGAACACGAUUGAUCUGCGGGUACUUGCCAGUUUGUUUCUAGUUUGGGUUAAAUUUGUGGGUGUCCGGUGCGCGUACGACUAUGAAAUUAAUAUCGAUUUUGAGUUUAACAUCCAAUUUGGAUAGCGAGUGGUGAGUUGGGUUGGGAUUGCUCUGUGGAGGAAAGUAGUGAAUCUCAUCAAUUAUUCAACGAUAUCAAAUAUCUCAGUGCACGUGCGCCUCACGCAUUCACGCGAGCACGCGACGGGCUUUCGUUCGUUUUCCUCUCCGAUGAAUCCAACCCCAAGUGGCGGCGCGACUGCUCUCUUUCUGCUAGGCGAUUCCAGAUGAUCGCCUCAUGCUAUUCACUCUCGAGGCGAAGAUCUUUCACUUAAUUCUUCGAUUGAGAUCAUCCUAAUCCCCUUUGAUCUGCAUCGCUUCCUCCUCCGUUUUGCCUAAAUGCAGUCGUUUGGUUCCUUCCUGACUCGACUGCUGAUUCUUGUGCAGAAUAGAUCGCCUCCUCAAAGUUGUGCGUCCGCUGAACGGUCUCGCGAAUCCUUCAAGUCAGAAUCAGGUUUGGGCUCGUGGUCAGAUAUUGAGCUGCAAAUGGAAAAUAUCUAAUUCUAUGAAUGAAGUAGCUAAGAUGGAUCGGCA